rnacentral:rRNA from 1 species
UACGGAGGGUGCAAGCGUUAUCCGGAUUCACUGGGUUUAAAGGGUGCGUAGGCGGGUAAGUAAGUCCGGGGUGAAAUCUCUGAGCUUAACUCAGAAACUGCCGUGGAUACUAUUUGCCUUGAAUAUUGUGGAGGUGAGCGGAAUAUGUCAUGUAGCGGUGAAAUGCUUAGAUAUGACAUAGAACACCAAUUGCGAAGGCAGCUCACUACACAAUCAUUGACUCUGAGGCACGAAAGCGUGGGGAUCAAACAGG